rnacentral:rRNA from 1 species
UUGAUCCUGGCUCAGAUUGAACGCUGGCGGCAUGCUUUACACAUGCAAGUCGAACGGCAGCAUGGGCUUCGGCCUGAUGGCGAGUGGCGAACGGGUGAGUAAUACAUCGGAACGUGCCUAGUAGUGGGGGAUAACUACUCGAAAGAGUAGCUAAUACCGCAUGAGAUCUACGGAUGAAAGCAGGGGAUCGCAAGACCUUGUGCUACUAGAGCGGCUGAUGGCAGAUUAGGUAGUUGGUGGGGUAAAGGCUCACCAAGCCGACGAUCUGUAGCUGGUCUGAGAGGACGACCAGCCACACUGGAACUGAGACACGGUCCAGACUCCUACGGGAGGCAGCAGUGGGGAAUUUUGGACAAUGGGCGCAAGCCUGAUCCAGCAAUGCCGCGUGCAGGAUGAAGGCCUUCGGGUUGUAAACUGCUUUUGUACGGAACGAAAAGCCUGGGGCUAUAUAUCCCCGGGUCAUGACGGUACCGUAAGAAUAAGCACCGGGCUAACUACGUGCCAGCAGCCGCGGUAAUACGUAGGGUGCAAGCGUUAAUCGGAAUUACUGGGCGUAAAGCGUGCGCAGGCGGUUAUGUAAGACAGAGGUGAAAUCCCCGGGCUCAACCUGGGAACUGCCUUUGUGACUGCAUAGCUAGAGUACGGUAGAGGGGGAUGGAAUUCCGCGUGUAGCAGUGAAAUGCGUAGAUAUGCGGAGGAACACCGAUGGCGAAGGCAAUCCCCUGGACCUGUACUGACGCUCAUGCACGAAAGCGUGGGGAGCAAACAGGAUUAGAUACCCUGGUAGUCCACGCCCUAAACGAUGUCAACUGGUUGUUGGGUCUUAACUGACUCAGUAACGAAGCUAACGCGUGAAGUUGACCGCCUGGGGAGUACGGCCGCAAGGUUGAAACUCAAAGGAAUUGGCGGGGACCCGCACAAGCGGUGGGAUGAUGUGGUUUAAUUCGAUGCAACGCGUAAAACCUUACCCACCUUUGACAUGUACGGAAGCUUCCAGAAGAUGGAUUCGUGCUCGAAAGAGAACCGUAACACAGGUGCUGCAUGGCUGUCGUCAGCUCGUGUCGUGAGAGGUUUGGGUUAAGUUCCCGCAACGAGCGCAACCCUUGCCAUUAGUUGUUACAUUUAGUUGAGCACUCUAAUGGGACUGCCGGUGACAAACCGGAGGAAGGUGGGGAUGACGUCAAGUCCUCAUGGCCCUUAUAGGUGGGGCUACACACGUCAUACAAUGGCUGGUACAAAGGGUUGCCAACCCGCGAGGGGGAGCUAAUCCCAUAAAGCCAGUCGUAGUCCGGAUCGCAGUCUGCAACUCGACUGCGUGAAGUCGGAAUCGCUAGUAAUCGUGGAUCAGAAUGUCACGGUGAAUACGUUCCCGGGUCUUGUACACACCGCCCGUC